UCCCUGGUCAUCCAGUGACCAAGACUCUGCACUGCCAAUGUGGGGGGCCCAGGUUCAAUCCCUGGUUAGGGAA
rnacentral:tRNA from 1 species